GGGGCGUGGCGUUGCGCCGGCGCCGGGCAGGGGAGGGCGCGCGGUACGGCGCGGGGCGCGACGCUCGGGCGCGCUGAGGCCGCCGCAGGAAGCGGGGCGGUGUCCAGUGCCGGCGGGGGUGAAGGCACCCCGCACAGCACUUCCCCGGCCAGGCCCAGGCAUGCCCGUCCUUGUAAGGCAAAAUCUUCGAUGGGAGCCUACCUCCCUAAAGCCUCGUGGCGGAACAGCUGUUUGACGCAUUCAGAAGGAAGGAUGACAGCUCUACAGAGGAACACGGUGUGAAUGGAAGAAACCUGUCAUUAUGCAAACAGUACAGCACUCUGAACAGACUCUAAAAACAGCUCUCAUCUCAAAGAACCCGGCGCUCGUGUCACAGUAUGAGAAGUUAGACGCUGGCGAACGGCGUUUGCUGAACAAAGCCUUCAAGCCAGACAACGAUCUGUUUGGACCCAUUACCCUGCAUUCAGAAUCAGACUGGAUCAUCUCCCAUCCGGAGGCUCCCCAAGACUUCGAAGAGUUUUUCAGUGAUCCUUCCAGAAAGGCACCGUCUCCAGAGAAACGCAGUAUUUAUAUACAGUGCAUUGGGUCUCUGGGAAACACAAGAAUUAUCAGUGAAGAAUAUAUUAAGUGGCUGAAAGGUUACUGUGAAGCAUUUUUCUAUGGCUUGACAGUAAAACUCCUAGAACCGGUUCCUGUCUCUGUCACGAGAUGUUCCUUUAGAGUCAAUGAUAACACACAAAACCUACAAAUUCAUGCAGGGCAUAUCCUGAGGUUCUUAAAAAAGAAGAAACCUAGAGAUGCCUUCUGUAUUGUGGGAAUAACAAUGAUUGAUCUUUACCCACGAGACUCCUGGAAUUUUGUCUUUGGACAGGCCUCUUUGACAGAUGGUGUGGGGAUAUUCAGCUUUGCCAGGUAUGGCAGUGAUUUUUAUAGCUCACACUAUGAAGGCAAAGUGAGCAAGCUACAGAGAGUAUCUUCAAGUGACUAUUCCAUUUUUGAUAACUAUUACGUCCCCGAAGUGACCAGUAUUUUGCUGCUUCGUUCCUGUAAGACUUUAACCCAUGAGAUUGGACACAUAUUUGGACUCCGGCACUGCCAGUGGCUUGCAUGCCUCAUGCAAGGCUCCAACCACUUGGAGGAAGCUGACCGGCGCCCCCUCAACCUUUGCCCCAUCUGUUUACGCAAGCUGCAGUGUGCUGUGGGCUUCAACAUCAUCGACAGAUACCAGGCGCUGGUGAGGUGGAUUGACGAUGAGUCCGCCGACAGCCCUGGAGUCUGCGGGGAGCGCCGUCGGGAGGAUCACGUGACUUUGCCAAAGCCUGUGGAAGCCUUUAAGGAAUGGAAGGAGUGGAUAAUAAGAUGCCUUGCUGUUGUCCAGAAAUAAGGACCUUCGCCUAGGAGUAAUUCCCGUAAACCUUUGCGCAUUAUGCUUUCCCUUGGAUGCCAUACUUCCUUAGAACAAACUGCUUACUGACUCUGCCCUGUGUCAAGUAACAGAAUGGAACCUUCUUUAAAGCAUCUGAACUUUGAAAUGAGGCUUACUUGGGAUGCCGACAACUAUAAACCCUCAGCCUGGUCGUGGUAGUGAGCUCGUCAUUUCCGUCCUUGAAAUCCGUUUAUACCUCACUAGGGAGUUAGGACUAACAGAUAAGUAAGUAAAUAUAAAAAUUACUGUAUAUAUCCCAAGAAAGGAUAUCCAAGGAAUGUAAUUUCCAGGGGGUGAUUUUUGAUUCAUUUCUUUAGAAGGAGUGCGCUGCCUCCUACAGACCCAGGCAAGUCACCUACUCCACGUGCAUCCCUCGUCUGUGGACCGAACUUUCCAGGGAGCCUGUCUGCUCUCCCUUUAUUUGCUGGUUGUCCCUUGAGCCUGAAAGAAGCGAUAGUUCAUUUGGGGUUUGGCAGCUUAUAAAAUGUGACGUCCUCUCAACCAUAUUUACAAGUGAAACUAACAGGACUUGUACAACAAACAGUAUUUGUGAAGGGUCUUGCUCAAUUUGUUACGAUGGGCCUUAUGUUUGUGAGUGUUGCCCUUUUUCUGUAGGCUUCGAGCAGGUGUUAGGUUUAUUCCUGCGAUAGUAUCACUCUCACUUUGCAUUGUGCAGUGUUCCCUUGAGGAGGACGGAGAGUGUGAUGGGGUGUCCUGUUGGCGUGGCAGGAAUGCCUGUGUUGGCCUGUCAGGCUGUGAACAUCGGCUGGAUUUCCACUGUGGGGGAACAGGCUGAAAACCACAGGCUUGAAGAUUCGCCUUUACGAGAGCAAUGUAUCUCACGCCUCUAGAAAUUAGAUCAGAUCAUUUGGAUGCUGGUGAGCAGAUUGCCUUUCCCACGUUCCCAUCUUCACCCGGAGGGUAAAACUUACAGGUAGUUUUAAAUUUUGAAGUUUGGAACCCAAAUUCUUUCCAUGUUUAUUUAUGCAGUGCGAUCGAAAGCACAUAUUCUAACUGAACAUGCUUUUCCUUAUGACAUUCAUUCUUCCUUGAUGAGACCUCUUAAGGUCAUUUACGUUCAGACUCAUUGGAGGGCAAACACUUGGUGGGCAAACACUUGGUGGUUCUAAUAUGAAAAGAGAACCCAAGGGAGCAUGGACUUUUAUGGAUUCUGUUACAAGUUUUAUUUCCUCGUACUGUCACUGGCCCUGUGUUCAGUUUUCUUCUGUUUUCCUGCAGGGUAAGCACAGGUUUGGCCCUGUAGGUCAGCAAGAGUUACAAACCUACACAUUCAGAUUUGGCUGCGUGUGUAAAUUCGGGGGCGCGGUUGUUCCAACAAGACAUAGAAUCCAUUUGUACCAACUCUGCACGGGGAGACCAGGAAAAUGUCUUCUAUUUAAAGAAUCAAAUCAUAAGAGUCCUGUUAAAAGUUGGACAGAUGUUAAGUUUAAUGUAAUGGGCAUUUAUUCAGCAGUCAUCAGGUGUAUAAUACUGCCUUGUAUUUACUUUCGGACAAUUUCUUAGGGUUAAAUUUAAAAACGAUCAUUUGUUUACUGCAACUACAUUUUAUGUACUAUAGGGAAACCUUGUUUUGAGAAAUUAUUUUCACUCAGUAACAAACGGAAAUCCACGCAGAGCUUGCUUUGCAAAUGCUGAAUGAACAAACAGGGAAGAGAACUAGUAGUUUUCCAUGGUCAACACACCGUUCUAGAAAAAAGCGAAUCGGAAAUGUUCGCGUUUGCGCCGGCGGAGUUAGUCAUCUCCCUUUGGUCAAGAGAAGGAUUAAGCGGCAACAUUUUAGUCCGCAAAGCCUUGUAACGGCAAUGGCCGGACCGAAGAACAUGGCCUUCCCCAGCUUGCCCCCUGCAGCCCCGAGACACCCCCCGCCCCCGCGCCAUCAAGGGUGUGUGCAUUCUGCACCCGAGGGUCGGGGUGCUGCGGGCGGGCAGCGCCGUCCACCCCUCCACCCCGGCUCCACAGCUGCGUCCUCCUGCGCCUGCAGCGCUGCACCACGCCACGCCCCGCCCCGCCGCGAGCGCGCGCACGGCUCGCCCCCGGCCGUGCCCGCGCGCCCCCGGCCCACAGCGCAGCCUCCACAGCGAGGGGGCGCGGAAGCCGCGGGGAGCCCGGCAGAUCGGCGCGGCGGGCGGCGGAGCACACAGGUGGCCUCUGACCAAACCGAAGAAUCAUUACAACCUGACCCUCUUACGAGAGUGACUUUACAAGAUAAGAAAUAUUCUUUGAGGCAUUGAAAGGAUUGCAAAAAGGAGGGCCUACCGGGACCCAGGGAGAUGGCCCGCGCUAAGGAACAAAGGCGACCAAGAGACAAGAUACAGUUUCUACCCUCAGAGGGCAUUCACGAGCAGUGAUGCUCCCCUUGACAUGUUAUUGUGAAAAAUUUUAUGUGGACAGUAAAGUGGAGCGUGCCUGCCUGCCCUUCGCCUGAGUUCGAUAACAUGUCCUCUCUCUCUGCCUGUCUUCCGAUACAUUUAUAUGCAUACACACAUUCAGUUUUCUGAACUACGUGAAAAGCUUCAGACAUUAGGACAUGUCACCCCUAAAUACUUCAACAUUAUCUCCUUUGAACAAAGCAUCUGUCUACUGACACAUUCUGAAGAAAUGGCAGAGUGAGAAAUGAAUCUGGGUCUCCAAGGUUAACUGUCUACUACUCUUUGGAGAGUAAUUCACCUCCUGAUGUUGAAGUAGCAAAAAAAAAAAAAAAA